AGCCUGGGCAACACAGCAAGACCCUGUCUCAGAAAAAAAGAGUUAAUAAAAGUAUACACAUCAAUUUACUUAUUUAUGUGUUCAGAUCAUAGUUGUUGCUGAGAACGUCAAGUUAGGGGUCCUGGAUAACAUCGUCUGAGCACUUUGCUUCUUGGUCUUCAACAGCCCCAUUGCAAAGGGCAGCACUUGAGGAUAUCUCCAUUUGUGUCUCUUACAUGUAGCCCAGAGGGCAGGACCAUUGUACACAUGAGCAAAACUCACCCUUUGCUCUGGUGAAUGUCAGUUUAAACUGCUGGGCUCUUGGGCCUUUGCUCUCCAGUUGUAUUCUGUGGUCAUCUUGAACGUGUCAGCUUUCACACUCUUCUCUACACAUCUCUGGUCCUCAGCUGACCAACUCUCCUGACAUUCCUUCCUGUUGGUGCUGGCUUGCUCUCUGCCUCCAAAGAUAUUUAGAGUUCAGGCACCUGUCCUCCUUGUUGCUACCACCCAGAGAGGCUCACUUCUGAAUUAGCUCUGUUUGUAAGGAAGCACUAUCUAGCCCUUUGGAAGGGGAGCUGCUUAGGCUCUGGUGGCACAGCACCUUAAUGUUUCAUGUUCCCCACAUUCUAGUCUUCCUGUGUGCACAGAUCCUUCCUUAAAGGGACGGGGGAGGCUGAGUGAAGGCAUGUUCAAGGGCAGACUCACAUGGCAUUGGGCACACUGCCACUGCCGUGCAGUCAUCACUGUUAACUCCACCACAGGCUGUCUAGUUCCUUCAUUACUUAUGGAGACCCGCUUUCCCUCCCUCUAGCUUGGCUACUCUCACCAUCAGGUAGGAAUGAAUAUAUUUUAAUUCUAAAUGUAAACCCCAAUAGUUAUUUCCCAGAGGCUUCUGAGCUACACAUAAAGCCAAGAAUGUGACUAGGCUUAUGUUGUGUGGAAUCAUCCAUUCAAGGAAAAUUAAGAGAAACUUUGUCAGGAAGUCUCCUCUAACCGGCACUCAUCUACUACCUUGGGCAGAUUAUUGAACCAUUCUAGGUCUCACGUUCCUCAUCUGGUGAAGAUGAAGUGAAUAAAUAUAGAAAAGCCUUUAGAAUAAUGCCUGGCAUUUUGGCUCUGUUCCAAAUAAGGAGGGGGGUGUAGUCACAUGAGAUGUUGAUAUACACGCACAGCCGCUUCGAUGGAUAGAGAUCCACUUGGCCAAAGCCUUGCAGAAGUGAAACUAAAGUUUGGGUGAAAAUGUUUCCAGAUGCUGCCACUCCUUUCACAUUUAGUUUUUUUUCCUGGAGGCCCUGAGUAUGAGUGCUGCCUACAGAAAGAAUCUGCACUCCUCUUAGCCAGGAGAAAGAAGGCAAGUGACAUUAGGGCAGCAAAGCUUGCUGAGGAGGAGAGAUAGGGAAAAUGUGAGUGCAGACAGCCUAGGACUGCUGUUUGAGAUCUCCAUCUCACCUGGGACCUUAUCUGCAAGGUUGCUUUAUGUGCAUGAACACUAUGCGGUGGGAGUAAUGAGGCCUUUAAAAGGCAGGCUGCCAUCUAUGGAAGACAGUGAAAGAACCCUGUGAGAAAGAAAGUGAACAAGGAGCAUCAUAUGUAACCAAGGAAACAGUGCCGAAUAGCCCCUGCUGGGCCUUACCGAGAGGAAGCUGGCUGGAACCAGAGCAACGGGUAGAAUGGGGAGGUGUUUAUAAAUACAGAUACUCAGCUUUCUCUUUGUUUAUGAACUCUCAGAUGGAAUAAAGAAACUUGGAACCGUGUGUGUGUGUGUGUGUGUGUGUGUGUGUGUGUGUGUGUGUUUGUGUGUGAGACAGACACAGAGAGAGAGGGAAUAUGAAUGAACAAGUUGGGGUGAUCUUUAACAUAUGGCUGUGGGAAAUAGAAAAGUUCUUUUUAAAGUUUCCUUUCUUGUUAAACUGUGCUAACAGCUUUGUUAAGCCCUAACCUAUAUAGCUGUUAAACAUCCCAUGCUUACAGGCAUGUCGUACAUUCUGUGUCCUUGUACUUUAACCAAGAUAUCUCUGCUGGACGUGCUCACAGGCAUGUCCCAGCUCUCCAUGGCUUUUAUCUGUUUAGAAAAAUUUUAAAUUAUUAGUCAAUCAGGUUUUAGUUUAAAUUGUAAGGUCUGGCUCCAGCCAGUGGAGAUCAGACAUAGCAGGAAGGACAACCCCAAAUGCAUCAGGGAUAAAUUUGUGUGUUUUCCUUUGUUCAUUGUACUCUCCUGGCACGAUGGCUAGUGAGGGUACCUUUCCUGCAGUCCAGGAAGUAAAAAUUGCGUUGCUGAAAGAUCCUUUGUCUGAGUGCUAAUUUUUCUUGCAGUACCAAGCAUCUAUUUCCAACAAUGGCUAAGUCUGAUUUAAACCCCAUUCCUGAAUUGCAGAAAUUCCAAAUCCCUCACUAAGAUUUCUAUUAAUUUCUAGGUGGGCCCAUGUCUGCUAGAAUCCCCCAUUGACUCCACAUUCCGAUUCCACUGAGUGCAUUUCAUUUCUAGAUAAUUUCCACACCCUGUUUACCAGCCUGCUGAAGUUAGAAUCUGGGUUUACCUCUUAGCUGCUGUGUGACCUUGGACAAAUCACUUAACCUCUCUGUGCUUCUGGUGCCUCACUCACAAAAUGGAGAAAAUAUAAUUGCUUACCUUAUAGGUUUGCAUUGAGUAUUAUUAAAUAAGAUAGUUACUAUAAAGCAUUUAAAUAUGUUAGUGUAUGUAUGGUGCUUAGAAUUCCACUUGGCAUAUAAUCAACAUUUUUACAUUAUUAUUGAGCUGAUUAUUAUGCAUUAAAACAGAUGUUGAGCUCAGCCUCUUUUCUUUCUUUCCACUCAAAACAGCCCUCUCAAAAGGGUCUAUGUGUGUUUGCGUGUGUGUUUAUGUGUGUGUAGAGAAGACUUUAUUAAAUAUUGGAGUGAUGAAGACAUUUUCAUUUCAUUUGUGCCAACAAUGUGUAAUUUCAGGGUAUAUAGUUAAUAGUUCUUUUCCCAAAAGUUCUUCAGACAUUUCCAGUUUAAACUCACCAUUUUCUCAUUCUUUCUGCAUUCCACAUUUCUAAUCUUUGUGAAUGCAAAGUAAUUUAGCUACUUGUUACUUCACCUUUAGCUCUAUGUUCUCAGGGUCUCGUCUUCCACCCCCAACCUGUUUAUCAAGAAUUGCCUUAAGCGUAGAUAGUUCCUUUGUACAUAUCAUGCAGUAGAUAGAGUUCCCAGUGGUUCUCAUGAAUUGUUUAAUAUCGAAGUAUGUUGAAAGCAAUCUGAUUAUUUUAUCAUUUGAACUUUUCUCUAGUGCAGUUUUCUCUAAAUCCACAUUUGUACACUUUAGGCUGCAAAAGUAAUACCAGAGACUGUGAGCCCCUAGAGAGCAAAGAUCAAAUUACUUACAGUGUUAUACUCACAGCAGUACCCAGUCAGUGGCUCAAAAAUUGAUAUACACUUGUAUGUCACUGUCCCUAUCU